UACGGAGGGUGCGAGCGUUGUCCGGAAUCACUGGGCGUAAAGGGCGCGUAGGCGGCAGGCCAAGCGUGCGGUGAAAGUCCGGGGCUCAACCCCGGAUCUGCCGUGCGGACUGGUUUGCUAGAGCACUGUAGAGGCGAGUGGAAUUCCGGGUGUAGCGGUGGAAUGCGUAGAGAUCCGGAAGAACACCGGUGGCGAAGGCGGCUCGCUGGGCAGUGGCUGACGCUGAGGUGCGACAGCGUGGGGAGCAAACAGG
rnacentral:rRNA from 1 species